rnacentral:pre_miRNA from 1 species
UAGAAAUGGGGGUUCCUUUGAGGACAAAGAAAGCGUUUCGAAUCAUUUGGACUGAAGGAAGCUCCUAAUUCAG